GCCGGGGAUCGGCGGGAAACGUCGGGGACGGGAGCCCGAGGCCCUCGCGGUGGCCGCUCGUGUUGGGCUGCGAUUACAGGGCGCGAACGGGGCUCCGGCGCCUGCUGUGGCAUUUUGGCUCAAACGCCGUUUUUAUUCGUUUUGGCUGUUUUUUACGCGCUCGUUCUGCGACAACGGAACUCUGUUGAAUUGGAUCGCUGCUGCUACGUGAGAGAGAGAGGGGAACUGAUAAGCCGUGCUCUCUGUUUCUCCUCAGGACACCAUAGAUGAUGUCUCAUAGAGACCUUGGACUUGGAGUGCCAUCAAUCCUGUUGAUUGGCUCCUCCUGACAGCUUAGGGCAGUAAUUUACUGUUAAUACCAUCAUACUUGCCUACCAAUGUAGUCCUAUUAAAGAGGUGAAACAAUA